GACGAACGCUGGCGGCGUGCUUAACACAUGCAAGUCGAACGGUAAGGCCCUUCGGGGUACACGAGUGGCGAACGGGUGAGUAACACGUGGGUGAUCUGCCCUGCACUUCGGGAUAAGCCUGGGAAACUGGGUCUAAUACCGGAUAGGACCCUGGGAUGCAUGUCCUGGGGUGGAAAGCUUUUGCGGUGUGGGAUGGGCCCGCGGCCUAUCAGCUUGUUGGUGGGGUGAUGGCCUACCAAGGCGACGACGGGUAGCCGGCCUGAGAGGGUGACCGGACACACUGGGACUGAGAUACGGCCCAGACUCCUACGGGAGGCAGCAGUGGGGAAUAUUGCACAAUGGGCGCAAGCCUGAUGCAGCGACGCCGCGUGAGGGAUGACGGCCCUCGGGUUGUAAACCUCUUUCAGCACCGACGAAGCGCAAGUGACGGUAGGUGCAGAAGAAGGACCGGCCAACUACGUGCCAGCCGCCGCAGUAA
rnacentral:rRNA from 1 species